CGUAGGGUGCAAGCGUUGCCCGGAUUUAUUGGGCGUAAAGGGCGCGCAGGCGGCCACGCACGUCCGUUGUGAAAUCGCCCGGCUCAACUGGGCGGGGUCAGCGGAUACGGCGUGGCUGGAGCAAGCUAGGGGGCAGUGGAAUUCCCGGUGUAGUGGUGGAAUGCGUAGAUAUCGGGAGGAACACCAGUGGCGAAGGCGGCUGCCUGGAGCUUUGCUGACGCUGAGGCGCGAAAGCGUGGGGAGCGAUCCGGAUUAGAUACCCGGGUAGUCCACGCCGUAAACGAUGUCGACUAGGUGUCGGGGGUAUCGACCCCCUCGGCGCCGCAGCUAACGCAUUAAGUCGACCGCCUGGGGACUACGGCCGCAAGGCUA
rnacentral:rRNA from 1 species